CCUACGGGAGGCAGCAGUGGGGAAUAUUGGACAAUGGGGGGAACCCUGAUCCAGCGACGCCGCGUGAGUGAAGAAGUAUUUCGGUAUGUAAAGCUCUAUCAGCAGGGAAGAAAGAAAUGACGGUACCUGACUAAGAAGCCCCGGCUAACUACGUGCCAGCAGCCGCGGUAAUACGUAUGGAGCAAGCGUUAUCCGGAUUUACUGGGUGUAAAGGGAGCGCAGGCGGCCUUGCAAGUCUGAUGUGAAAUACCGGGGCUCAACCCCGGAGCUGCAUUGGAAACUGUGAGGCUGGAGUGUCGGAGAGGCAGGCGGAAUUCCUAGUGUAGCGGUGAAAUGCGUAGAUAUUAGGAGGAACACCAGUGGCGAAGGCGGCUUACUGGACUGUAACUGACGUUGAGGCUCGAAAGCGUGGGGAGCAAACAGGAUUAGAUACCCGGGUAGUC
rnacentral:rRNA from 1 species